CACGGGGGGAGCAAGCGUUGUUCGGAAUCACUGGGCGUAAAGGGCUCGUAGGCGGCCAACUAAGUCAUACGUGAAAUCCCUCGGCUUAACCGGGGAACUGCGUCUGAUACUGGAUGGCUUGAGUUCGGGAGAGGGAUGCGGAAUUCCAGGUGUAGCGGUGAAAUGCGUAGAUAUCUGGAGGAACACCGGUGGCGAAGGCGGCAUCCUGGACCGAUACUGACGCUGAGGAGCGAAAGCCAGGGGAGCAAACGGG
rnacentral:rRNA from 1 species